UACGGAGGGUGCGAGCGUUGUCCGGAAUCACUGGGCGUAAAGGGCGCGUAGGCGGCGCGGGAAGUCCGUGGUGAAAGCCCGAGGCUCAACUUCGGGUCGGCCAUGGAUACUCCUGGGCUUGAGCACUGUAGAGGCAGGUGGAAUUCCGGGUGUAGCGGUGGAAUGCGUAGAGAUCCGGAAGAACACCGGUGGCGAAGGCGGCCUGCUGGGCAGUAGCUGACGCUGAGGCGCGACAGCGUGGGGAGCAAACAGG
rnacentral:rRNA from 1 species